rnacentral:lncRNA from 1 species
CUUUAUUAAUUGCUAGGGGAGGCUAGGGAUAGCAAGCCAGUAAUUAGUAAUAGGCUCUUUGCAUUGAGGGAUCGGGUUAAGGGUAGGCCAAGAAAGUUCCAUAACAUUUAGUUAAUCAAGCAAAUAAACCAAGAGGAGUAAAUAAGAGAGACUGGUUGGGUGAAAUAUGAAUCCUAGCAACAAAUCCAUUUCAUAUUAUCACCAUCCUCCAUUCACUUUUUU